rnacentral:rRNA from 1 species
UCAGCUUGCUGAUUCGCUGACGAGUGGCGGACGGGUGAGUAAUGUCUGGGAAACUGCCUGAUGGAGGGGGAUAACUACUGGAAACGGUAGCUAAUACCGCAUAACGUCGCAAGACCAAAGAGGGGGACCUUCGGGCCUCUUGCCAUCGGAUGUGCCCAGAUGGGAUUAGCUUGUUGGUGGGGUAACGGCUCACCUAGGCGACGAUCCCUAGCUGGUCUGAGAGGAUGACCAGCCACACUGGAACUGAGACACGGUCCAGACUCCUACGGGAGGCAGCAGUGGGGAAUAUUGCACAAUGGGCGCAAGCCUGAUGCAGCCAUGCCGCGUGUAUGAAGAAGGCCUUCGGGUUGUAAAGUACUUUCAGCGGGGAGGAAGGGAGUAAAGUUAAUACCUUUGCUCAUUGACGUUACCCGCAGAAGAAGCACCGGCUAACUCCGUGCCAGCAGCCGCGGUAAUACGGAGGGUGCAAGCGUUAAUCGGAAUUACUGGGCGUAAAGCGCACGCAGGCGGUUUGUUAAGUCAGAUGUGAAAUCCCCGGGCUCAACCUGGGAACUGCAUCUGAUACUGGCAAGCUUGAGUCUCGUAGAGGGGGGUAGAAUUCCAGGUGUAGCGGUGAAAUGCGUAGAGAUCUGGAGAUACCGGUGGCGAAGCGCCCUGACGAGACUGACCCCUCAGGCAAGCUGGUACGACUGAUUAGAUGCGUGGUUAGUUCUCACAGACGCCA